CUGUUCAUGGUCAGCGUCACCGAAGGGCUCCGGGCGGCCGUGACCCUGCUGGAGUGCGGGGGGGACCUCCAGCCCCACGGGGGGUCCCUGACUCUGCUCUGCCGCGGGUCUGGGUUCACGUUUGGGAGUUACGCCAUGCACUGGAUCCGCCAAAGACCCGGAAAGGGGUUGGAAUACGUUGCAGAGAUCGGCAACAAUGGCGGUUCCAUCCACUACGCGCCGUCGGUCGAGGGCCGGUUCACGAUCUCCAGGGACAACGGGCAGAGCUCGGUGACGCUGACCAUGAACAACCUCAAGGACGAGGAUUCUGCCGUUUAUUUCUGCGCCAAAAGUGCUGGUGCUGGUUGUUCUGCUUCUUGUACUGGUUGUAUUGAUGGUUGCAAUGCCUUACCCAUCACUGUGUCCCACCUGUCCAUCGAGAACCGGCCCUGCACCGAGAGCCCGAACCAGGUGGUGCUGCCAGCGCUGCUGAUCGCCGCGACCAAUUCCAGCGCCUUCCCAGAGCUCUGCCGGAUCCAGUACAUCCCAUAA